rnacentral:tRNA from 1 species
GGGGCGAUAGCUCAGUCGGUUAGAGCAUCGGACUCAUAAUCCGCCGGUCCAGGGUUCAAGCCCCUGUCGCCCUA